GAUCAUGGCUCAGAUUGAACGCUGGCGGCAGGCCUAACACAUGCAAGUCGAGCGGUAGCACAGAGAGUUUGCUCUCGGGUGACGAGCGGCGGACGGGUGAGUAAUGUCUGGGAAACUGCCUGAUGGAGGGGGAUAACUACUGGAAACGGUAGCUAAUACCGCAUAACGUCGCAAGACCAAAGUGGGGGACCUUCGGGCCUCAUGCCAUCAGAUGUGCCCAGAUGGGAUUAG
rnacentral:rRNA from 1 species